GAACAUGGAAUACAGUCAUAGCAGCAUCUGUGAUAGCUUCCUUCAGAUUUCUGGCAUGGAGCAAUAGAUCGCCGAUCAGACGAGAGAGAAGCAGUUAUCCUCUCGGGGAAGAUAGUCAGUUGUUCAUCUUCUGAAAAUGUUGGAUCAAAUCUGCCUACAGCUACACGGAAAGAUUCCUGUCUAAU